rnacentral:rRNA from 1 species
AGGACUAACGCUGGCGGCGUGCCUAACACAUGCAAGUCGAACGAAGUAGCAAUACUUAGUGGCAGACGGGUGAGUAACACGUAGUCAACCUGCCCUUCAAUGGGGGAUAACUAGCCGAAAGGUUAGCUAAUACCGCAUACGAUCUCUGAGUGGCAUCACUGGGCGAUGAAAGGAGUAAUCCGUUGAAGGAGGGGACUGCGUCCCAUUAGUUAGUUGGUGGGGUAAUGGCCUACCAAGACUCCGAUGGGUAGCUGGCUUGAGAGAGCGACCAGCCACACUGGAACUGAGACACGGUCCAGACUCCUACGGGAGGCAGCAGUGAGGAAUUUUCCGCAAUGGGGGAAACCCUGACGGAGCGACGCCGCGUGUGGGAAGAAGGCCUUCGGUCGUAACCACUGUCGAGGGGGACGAUAUUGACGGUACCCUCGGAGGAAGCCCGGCUAACUACGUGCCAGCAGCCGC